ACCUGGCUGGCUCAGUCGGUAAGAGCAUGCAACUCUUGAUCUCAGGGCUGUGAGUUCAAGCCCCACAUUGGGUG
rnacentral:tRNA from 1 species